rnacentral:lncRNA from 1 species
GAUAACAAGAAUAUUUUUGAAUAGUUGGGUAUUUUUUCAGAGUUUAUCAUCACUAGCUUGUAUUUUUAAAUUAUUUUCUUAAAAACUUCUAUUUUUGGAAAGUUUUCAUUUUUUUUUAAGAAAAGUUGUGGAUUUGGGUUUGGGGUUUACUAAUUCGGAUAACAAGAAUAUUUGUGGAUAGUUGAGUAUUUUUUCUGAGUUUUUCAACAAUAAUUUGUAUUUUUAAAUACUUUUCUUAAAAACUGUUGUUUUUGGAAAGUUUUCAUUUUUUUGAAUUUUUUUUGUAGAUUUGGGUUUGUGAUUUAGAAAGUCUGAUAACAAGAAUAUAUGUGGAUGGAUGAGUAUUCUUUCUGAGUUUUUCAUCAAUAGGUUGUAUUUUUAAAUAAUUUUCAUAAAACUGCUAUUUUUGGAAAGUUUUCAUUUAUUAGAGAAAUACAGAAGAUUUGAGUUUUU